AUGGCUCAGAACGAACGCUGGUGGCGUGUCUUAUACAUGCAAGUCGAGCGAGGCAGCAAUGCCGAGCGGCGAACGGGUGAGUAACGCGUAAGCAAUCUGCCCCAUAUCAGGAAAUACCCGUGCCAACGCGCGGUUAAUGUCCAGGAGAGUGGCCUUCCGCAUGGAAGGUUGACUAGAGAUUUAUCGGUAUGGGAUGAGCUUGCGUCCGAUUAGCUAGUUGGCGGGGCAACGGCCCACCAAGGCGACGAUCGGUAGCCGGCCUGAGAGGGUGAUCGGCCACAUUGGGACUGAGAUACGGCCCAGACUCCUACGGGAGGCAGCAGUAGGGAAUAUUGCACAAUGGGGGAAACCCUGAUGCAGCAACGCCACGUGUGGGAAGAAGCAUUUCGGUGUGUAAACCACUGUCAUGAGGGAAUAAGGCCCGCCUUCGGACGGGAUUGAAUGUACCUUGAGAGGAAGCACCGGCAAACUUCGUGCCAGCCGCCGC
rnacentral:rRNA from 1 species